rnacentral:rRNA from 1 species
UCAUUACCGAGUGCGGGUCCUUUGGGCCCAACCUCCCAUCCGUGUCUAUUAUACCCUGUUGCUUCGGCGGGCCCGCCGCUUGUCGGCCGCCGGGGGGGCGCCUUUGCCCCCCGGGCCCGUGCCCGCCGGAGACCCCAACACGAACACUGUCUGAAAGCGUGCAGUCUGAGUUGAUUGAAUGCAAUCAGUUAAAACUUUCAACAAUGGAUCUCUUGGUUCCGGCAUCGAUGAAGAACGCAGCGAAAUGCGAUAACUAAUGUGAAUUGCAGAAUUCAGUGAAUCAUCGAGUCUUUGAACGCACAUUGCGCCCCCUGGUAUUCCGGGGGGCAUGCCUGUCCGAGCGUCAUUGCUGCCCUCAAGCCCGGCUUGUGUGUGGGGUCGCCGUCCCCCUCUCCGGGGGGACGGGCCCGAAAGGCAGCGGCGGCACCGCGUCCGAUCCUCGAGCGUAUGGGGCUUUGUCACAUGCUCUGUAGGAUUGGCCGGCGCCUGCCGACGUUUUCCAACCAUUUUUUCCAGGUUGACCUCGGAUCAGGUAGGGAUACCCGCUGAACUUAAGCAUAUCAAUAAGCGGAGGAAAAGAAA